AGAGUUUGAUCAUGGUUCAGGACGAACGCUGGCGGCGUGCCUAACACAUGCAAGUCGAAGGCUGAUCGAUGUCCGAAGUCCGAGAUCCGAAGUCCGAAUAUAAGUAAGAAUUUUGGGUAAGUUUAAGACUCAAAAAGAUACUUGAAUUCGGACAUCGAGCAUCGGACUUCGGACUUCGGUUGGCAGUGGCGGACGGGUGAGUAACGCGUGGGUAACCUACCCAUAAAGCCGGGACAACCCUUGGAAACGAGGGCUAAUACCGGAUAAGCUUGAGAAGUGGCAUCACUUUUUAAGGAAAGGUGGCCGAUGAGAAUGCCGCCGAUUAUGGAUGGACCCGCGUCUGAUUAGCUGGUUGGUGGGGUAAAGGCCUACCAAGGCGACGAUCAGUAGCCGGCCUGAGAGGGUGAACGGCCACACUGGGACUGAGACACGGCCCAGACUCCUACGGGAGGCAGCAGUGGGGAAUCUUCCGCAAUGGACGAAAGUCUGACGGAGCAACGCCGCGUGUAUGAUGAAGGUCUUCGGAUUGUAAAGUACUGUCUUUGGGGAAGAAUGGUGUGCUUGAGAAUAUUAAGCACAAAUGACGGUACCCAAGGAGGAAGCCCCGGCUAACUACGUGCCAGCAGCCGCGGUAGUACGUAGGGGGCAAGCGUUGUCCGGAAUUAUUGGGCGUAAAGGGCGCGUAGGCGGAUAGUUAAGUCCGGUGUGAAAGAUCAGGGCUCAACCCUGAGAGUGCAUCGGAAACUGGGUAUCUUGAGGACAGGAGAGGAAAGUGGAAUUCCACGUGUAGCGGUGAAAUGCGUAGAUAUGUGGAGGAACACCAGUGGCGAAGGCGACUUUCUGGACUGUAACUGACGCUGAGGCGCGAAAGCGUGGGGAGCAAACAGGAUUAGAUACCCUGGUAGUCCACGCUGUAAACGAUGAGCGCUAGGUGUAGA
rnacentral:rRNA from 1 species